AUUGAACGCUGGCGGCAUGCUUUACACAUGCAAGUCGAACGGUAACAGGCCUUCGGGUGCUGACGAGUGGCGAACGGGUGAGUAAUGCAUCGGAACGUGCCCAGAGGUGGGGGAUAACGCAGCGAAAGCUGUGCUAAUACCGCAUGUGAUCUGAGGAUGAAAGCGGGGGACCGGGCAGCAAUGUUUGGCCUCGCGCCUUUGGAGCGGCCGAUGUCAGAUUAGGUAGUUGGUGGGGUAAAGGCCUACCAAGCCGACGAUCUGUAGCUGGUCUGAGAGGACGACCAGCCACACUGGGACUGAGACACGGCCCAGACUCCUACGGGAGGCAGCAGUGGGGAAUUUUGGACAAUGGGCGCAAGCCUGAUCCAGCAAUGCCGCGUGCGGGAAGAAGGCCUUCGGGUUGUAAACCGCUUUUGUACGGAACGAAAAGGCUCUGGCUAAUACCUGGGGCUGAUGACGGUACCGUAAGAAUAAGCACCGGCUAACUACGUG
rnacentral:rRNA from 1 species